rnacentral:rRNA from 1 species
UGAAUACGAGACGCUAAGGCGUCGAAGUAGUGUAUGUCAUACUUCCAAGAAAAGCUUGCACUGUCAUAGAUAAAAAACGCCUGUACCAUAACCGACACAGGUGGGUAGGUAGAGUAUACUAAGGGGCGCGAGAUAACUCUCUCUAAGGAACUCGGCAAAAUAACUCCGUAACUUCGGGAGAAGGAGUGCCUUAUUCGUAAGGUUGCAAUAACAAGAUCCAAGCAACUGUUUAUCAAAAACACAGGUCUCCGCUAAGUCGUAGGACGAUGUAUGGGGGCUGACGCCUGCCCAGUGCCAGAAGGUUAAAGAAGUUGGUUAGCAAUUGCGAAGCUGAUAACUGAAGCCCUGGUGAACGGCGGCCGUAACGAUAACGGUCCUAAGGUAGCGAAAUUCCUUGUCGGGUAAGUUCCGACCCGCACGAAAGGCGUAAUGAUUUGGAUACUGUCUCGGAGAGGGGCUCGGUGAAAUAGACUUGUCUGUGAAGAUGCGGACUACCUGCACCAGGACAGAAAGACCCUAUGAAGCUUUACUGUAACUUGAAAUUGAAAUUGGACUUUAUUCGCGCAGUAUAGGUGGGAGGCGUUGAUUAUAAUCUUGUGGGAUUAUUGGAGCCAUCAGUGAGAUACCACUCUUGUAAUGUUAGAUUUCUAACUUUGAAUCAUUAUCUGGUCAAAGAACAGUUUCAGGCGGGCAGUUUGACUGGGGCGGUCGCCUCCUAAACGGUAACGGAGGCGUACAAAGGUUUCCUCUGAACGGUUAGAAAUCGUAUCUAGAGUGUAAAGGCAUAAGGAAGCUUGACUGUGAGACCUACAAGUCGAGCAGGGACGAAAGUCGGUCUUAGUGAUCUGACGGUACUGAGUGGAAAGGCCGUCACUCAACGGAUAAAAGUUACUCUAAGGAUAACAGGCUGAUCUCCCCCAAGAGUUCACAUCGACGGGGAGGUUUGGCACCUCGAUGUCGGCUCAUCGCAUCCUGGGGCGGUAGUACGUCCCAAGGGUUGGGCUGUUCGCCCAUGAAAGCGGUACGCGAGCUGGGUUCAGAACGUCGUGAGACAGUUCGGUCCAUAUCCGGUGUAGGCGUUAGAAUAUUGAGAGGAGCCUUCUUUAGUACGAGAGGACCGAGAAGGACAUACCUCUGGUGUACCAGUUAUCGUGCCAACGGUAAACGCUGGGUAGCUAUGUAUGGAGUGGAUAACCGCUGAAAGCAUCUAAGUGGGAAGCCCACCUCAAGAUAAGUAUUCUC